GACGAACGCUGGCGGCGUGCUUAACACAUGCAAGUCGAACGGAAAGGCCCUGCUUUUGUGGGGUGCUCGAGUGGCGAACGGGUGAGUAACACGUGAGUAACCUGCCCUUGACUUUGGGAUAACUUCAGGAAACUGGGGCUAAUACCGGAUAGGAGCUCCUGCUGCAUGGUGGGGGUUGGAAAGUUUCGGCGGUUGGGGAUGGGAUCGCGGCUUAUCAGCUUGUGGGUGGGGUAGUGGCUUACCAAGGCUUUGACGGGUAGCCGGCCUGAGAGGGUGACCGGCCACAGUGGGACUGAGGUACGGCCCAGACUCCUACGGGCGGCAGCAGUGGGGGAUAUUGCACAAUGGGCGGAAGCCUGAUGCAGCAACGCCGCGUGCGGGAUGACGGCUUUCGGGUUGUAAACCGCUUUCUCCUGUGACGAAGCGUGAGUGACGGUAAUGGGUAAAGAAGCACCGGCUAACUACGUG
rnacentral:rRNA from 1 species